UCCAACCUGGUUGAUUCUACGAUUCUAUGAUUUCACUUGUUCCAUAUUUUAUUUCUUCAGUUUUGUUGAUUCCUUUUUUUUGUUGCAUUUUAUCUUUGUUACAGAAUUCGUCUUUGCAGGACACCAAAUGAGAAGCAUGUUUAAACAACUGUUUCCACCAUUCCCUAAAAAAUUGUUCUCUUAUGAUACACUACUUGCAAAAUGAUACUCUGAAAGGUCUGGAAACUCCCCUGCAAGAAAAGUUAGUUUUGUUUCUUCUUGAUGUGUUGUUUGUUUGUUUGUUUGUUUUUAAUUUUGUAAGAUUGUGCAGUUUGUUUUUGCUUGGUUAGUUUGGCCUUUUUUUUCCUAUAAUCAAUGGCCAACAAAAUAAUGAAUUACAGAGUUCUCAUACAUCCUCUUUUGACACA